AAAUUGAAGAGUUUGAUCAUGGCUCAGAUUGAACGCUGGCGGCAGGCUUAACACAUGCAAGUCGAACGGUAACAGGAGAAAGCUUGCUUUCUUGCUGACGAGUGGCGGACGGGUGAGUAAUGCUUGGGAAUCUGGCUUAUGGAGGGGGAUAACCAUUGGAAACGAUGGCUAAUACCGCGUAAUAUCGGAAGAUUAAAGACUGGGACCGCAAGGCCAGUUGCCAUAAGAUGAGCCCAAGUGGGAUUAGGUAGUUGGUGGGGUAAGGGCCUACCAAGCCUUCGAUCUCUAGCUGGUCUGAGAGGAUGACCAGCCACACUGGAACUGAGACACGGUCCAGACUCCUACGGGAGGCAGCAGUGGGGAAUAUUGCGCAAUGGGGGCAACCCUGACGCAGCCAUGCCGCGUGAAUGAAGAAGGCCUUCGGGUUGUAAAGUUCUUUCGGUGAUGAGGAAGGGAGUUAUGUUAAUAGCAUAAUUCAUUGACGUUAGUCACAGAAGAAGCACCGGCUAACUCCGUGCCAGCAGCCGCGGUAAUACGGAGGGUGCGAGCGUUAAUCGGAAUAACUGGGCGUAAAGGGCACGCAGGCGGUUGAUUAAGUGAGGUGUGAAAUCCCUGGGCUUAACCUAGGAAUUGCAUUUCAGACUGGUCGGCUAGAGUACUUUAGGGAGGGGUAGAAUUCCACGUGUAGCGGUGAAAUGCGUAGAGAUGUGGAGGAAUACCGAAGGCGAAGGCAGCCCC
rnacentral:rRNA from 1 species